rnacentral:tRNA from 3 species
GCCCGAGUAGCUCAGUCGGUAGAGCGAUUCACUCGUAAUGAAUAGGUCCGCGGUUCAAUUCCGCGCUCGGGCUCCA